GCUCAGUGACUGAAAAUCUUGCUGGCUGUUUCUGGUCAGGCUGCUGAGCAGUGAUGCUCCUCCUAGUGUGUGAGAUGAAUUACCUGCAGCCCAAGAAUGUGGUGCACAGACCGCUGGCAGAAAAAGCAGAAAAGCAAUUUAUGGCCUGACUCUGUAGCGUGCGCCUAGGUGUAACGGUGUCUGUCUAACUUCAGCUAAUGAGAGACAUCAGGCUCACAAUCAGCACUCACAACACCUCCGACGAAUGGAGUACAUUUCUCAUCAGAACUACUUCCCAAGCUUGAUUCAUUCCUAUGAACGAACCUUAUUCUAUGUAAGUACUGAAAGCCAAUGCAAGAUUCAUCUAUCCAGAUUUAAUCGUUUGCAUCUGAGCUUGUCAUAUAACUCCAGCGUGCUCAUCCAAGCAGGCAGUUCUCUUCCACACACAGCUGAGUUCAGGGGAUCAUGUAUUGGAAAAUCUUGCACAAAAGUGAGCUUUGUGCUCUAAAUUACUGAAAUGAUCCCUUUUCCACAGCACUUUAAUUGAGGCUUUUGCUACAGCAAAAUUUAAGUAAGUAAUUGGUAAAGACAGCUGAUCUGUUAAUAUUGUAUUAGAUUUAGACUAAUAUGAAAGAAAACCAUAGAACAGUUAAUGCAUUAGCUAACCCAACGAAUCACUGAAAAAGAGAAGCAUAAUCUGAAUGUUAUGCACAGCAAGUCAAAAUAUGCCUGGAGUAUUUAAGAAGGGCAAGACUGGGAUGAAACAAAAAAGGCUGCUCAUUUCCCAUGUGCUUUCCUGUGGAAAUGUAGCACAGAACCCCUCAGUCUGCCUUUGGGUUGCCUAAGGGAUCAUAAGGGAUCUUGGGCAACAGGAACCAGUAUGCAGAUGGGAAAAUACUCUGACUGCUUUUAGAACCUCAAACUUUUUUUUUUUUUUUUAUUGGAAAGUGUGCACACAGUCAUGAUGUUAUUGGAAAUUAAUUGUCUGCCUUCUCAGGUGUAUAUUCUGUCUGAGUCUUAACCACUUGAGAACUGAUUCAAGGGUUGUAUGAUUCAGAAACAGUAAAUAGUUAGAAAAGCUGUUGGAGAUUAUACAGAAUUAAAACAUCAGUUUCCUUUCCCAAAGCAAAGAGGAGCUUGGGGAGGCUGCGAGGUGCUGGACUUCUCAGUGAAGAAUCCAUGUGUGUGAAGGCUGGAGCAGAAGCCAGUGGGUUGUUUUACACUUUGUUCCAUUGGCUUGGCAGUCCCAGACUGAGCACCGCUGUGUCACUCAGUGCUCUGCUGCACCAGGGAGACAGGUCUAUGACAGCAAACUGUGCACCAAGAUGCGCGAGGCCCUGCCAGCCUCCCUGCCAGCCCUAGCACCAUUUCACCAGGACUAGAAAGCAGAGAGAGGCAGGGUCGCACUGAUCUUCACUUGGCUUGCAUAAGGAAAAGGAGAGACGAAGUUCCUGAUUUUAUUCUCCAGAGGUAGAGCCAGGUCUUCUGUUCCACUCCUGUGCUAAAUCUGAAGCAGAGGAGUCACAACUGGGAAGUAUGUGGAGAAACCAAGAUCUGAUGAUAGGCAGAUAGGGAAGAGCAGGCGUGUGAAUGGCUGAUACAUUACAAAUGUAUGUGAUGUUUACAGCUGUGAAUUUUGACAACUGCUAGUAGCUGUGAAUUUCAGUGGUCAGAAUUUACCAUUUCACUGACACCCUGAUUGCUAAGCCAUCAUUACCAGGAUUUGUUCAGCCAUUCAAAAUCUGUGAGCAGAUUCAGACAGCUCUAUUUCUUAAAUGAACAGGUAAACCCAUAGUUCUCUCUUUAAUACCAAACGUAGGUGGUGUUGCCCACUGAGACUGAGCACAGUCUGUCAGCAUGCCAGUGAGAGUUGUCAUGUCUGUAGAAUCUUUUGGUUUAUAUUAAACCUUCUAGGAAGUUCUGAACUACAAAAACAGGAAAAAUCCUGGGAUCUGAACACCUAAUAUAUUUUUUCCUGGCUGUGAAAACUCCAAAAAAGUUUCAGGCAAUUUAUACUUCAGACUUCCUUCACUCAUGCACAAAUUAUUUUUUCUAUGGCAAAGGAGACAAAAAAUAUUUUUAAUUUUAAUUUUUGUUUCCAUAAAGGAUAAACAAAGAGAAAACACAGCAUCCAACAAUAUAGUUUUAUAAUAGGACCUUGACUUCUAUCAUUUACUAUGAAAAGGUCUGCAGCUCCUUACUGGGAGCAGCAGAGCAGCACUGAGCUCUGCUCUGUGGUGGCAGCAGCAGCACCCGAAGGAAUGGCGUGGAACUGUCAGAGGAUGUCAGAUUGGGGUCAGGGAAAGGCUCUGCCCCAGAGGGUGGUGGGCAUGGUCCCGUGAUGCUGGAGCUCAGGGAGCAUGGGGACACUGCUCUCAGCCAUAGGGUUUGGGUGGUCCUGUGUGAAGCUGGGGGUUGGACUACAGGAACCUGCUUGGAAGAACUUCAUGGGAUCAGACCCUACAAGGAAGAGGAGACCAAGAGAGAAAGUCAAUAUUCGAGCAUCUCAUCUUCCAGGCUCAGAGUCAGUGCAUUUGUACUAGAAGUCUAGCAAGGCAGGAGGCCUGCAUGGAUGAGCAAGGAGACUGUGAGAAAAUUCAGACAGAAGAAAGAAGCAUACAAAUGUGGAAGAUGAGACAGACCACGUGGGAGAAAGAUACAGAUGUUGUUAGAGUAUGCAGGGACGUGACAAUAAAGGCUAAGGCCAGUUUGGAAUUUAAUCUGACAAGGAGUGUAAAGGACAACAAGAAGGGGCUUCUUCACAUAGGUGCAAAAGAAAAACUAGCAAAAAUGUGGACCUGCUACUGAGUGGGUUCUGGUGUUCUGGUGACAAAGGAUUUGGAUAAGGCAGUUACUGAAUGCUUUCUUUGCUUCAGUCUUCACUUCUGAGAUGAGCUGCCUGGAACAGCAGACCCUGGAGCGCAGGGAGGAAGUCCAAAAAGAGACUUGUCCUUGGUGGUUAAAAUAAUUUGGGCAAACUUAACAGCCACAAGUCGAUGGGACCGAAUGAGAUGCACCCAUGAGUACUGAGGGAACUGGUGUCAUUGGAUGGCUGGUGGAUGCUAGGCCAUUCUCCAUAGUCUCAAACUGAAACACUAGACGUUCCAUUUGCACAUCAGAAAAAACUGAGUUACUUUGAGAGUUACAAAGCACUGGAACAAGCUGCCUAGAGGGACUGUGGACUCUUCUUUUCUGGAAUAUUCAAAACUCACCUGGAUGCGAUCCUGGGCAAUGUGAUCUAGAUGAUCUGCUUGAAGCAGGGGUUUGGAAAGUACCUCUUGAAUUCAUUUUGUCCAAUCUCAACCCUUCUGCAAUCCUUGUAGGUCCCUUUCAUUGGGAUAUUCUAUGAUUCCGUGAUAAUUCUGUGCUACAGUAUAUUUGCAUACGUGUGUUUUCACUUUCAAUAACAAAUAUAAAAUUGAGAUAAGAUCACCUCAAGGUUUUGUUCUGUAGAGCAUGGUACCGAUAUCCUACUACCAAAAAAAAAAUGAGUUUAAGUAUAUUUCACCAAGAUACUCCACCAAUUUGCAUCAACACUGUCUUUCCUGUUCACAUUUAUUGAAUGGUUUUUUUCCCAAGUUACUGCCAUCCUAGAGUUAAAAACUAAAGCAAUUAAGAGUCUUUUACAUCCUCUGUUAAAUUGUACCAAUUUUUCUCACAUGAUUAAAAAUCUGCACCUAUUCCAAUCUUAACAGGUCAUCAGCAUUGAGCCUUUUGAUCUUGUAAUGCCUUUGUCUGCUAGAUUUUAAAGAGGUAUCAGAAAUUUUCUUGUGUAUAUGCUUAUAGACUCUGAUCAUAUUACGUCUUACUCUUCUCUUUUAAAAAACUAACGAGAUAAAGCUGACAAGAUGAAUCUCUUUAAACCUCUGUGCCAGGAAGAUUUCUUUUUCAGAACUUAGAUUAUUCUUUUAGCUUUUUUUUCCUUGAACAUUUCUGAUUUCUUUUUGGGGGGAAGAAUAGAUAUCAGAAGAUAUCAGAAGUUGGCACAGCAUGUUUUAUUAUGAAAGGGAUGCAAAACUAUGUUAAGAUUAAAGUAAGUUAGUUAGAAAUAAUUAUUUUCCUUCUCAUCUGAAUUCAUCUGAGCUUUGUGUUGCUCUCACUGGGACUUGUUAACAGGAUAAGGAUUGUUAUGAUUAGUUAGAUAGCUGCUUCUGGUCUGAUUGCUUCGUUCUAGUUGUCUGGACUGAGCUACUGUUUGUAGCAGUAAUAAAAUCUUCAUAGUGUUGUAUUAAUUUUCAAUAGAUCUGUAAUGCUGACAAUGCACAAUAAUGGUAUUUUAGGGAUAAUAGUUACCAUUAUAAUUUUCAAUAUUAUAAUGCUUCUGUUCCAAAGGAACUUUUGCUAGCACAUUUACAUGACAUUUAGGGGGAAACUUCCCAUGAUUCAUAUUCAUAAUAAAUAGAAAGCUUUUUUAAUAUUCCAACAAAUAAUCCUAGGGAAUUAGGCAUCCGUGGAUUGUAAAGAUCUGAGUUAGUGAAAGCCAUCUCUGGAAGUGUAUCAGACACCUUAUAGCUUCAGAAUGAAGUUCCUUUGCUUAGGAUUCAUCUCUGGUUUAUAGCUUGCUUGAGCAAAUAAUGUGGCUGUGGUUGGCUUUCAAAUAAAGUAUUUCCUAUGCUGCAGUUCCCAUAAAUGUGUAUUUAGAAUAAAAAAUUAAAAUGAGACUUCUUAAAUUCAAGUAGCUCAACCAAACCCUGCUUGACUGACUUUGCUGUAAGCAAGCUAACUCUAUAUGGUCAUAUUUAUAGCAGUUCACUGUCAUUUUAUAGGAUCAUUCCUGGUAUUACAUUUGUAAUGUUAUGAAGAGUUCGCGACUGCUUUUGGCUGCCAUCGGUAGAUGUGAUAUUGGUUGCAGAUUUUUUUUUCUGCACAAGGAUAUUCUUUGCAUUAGUCAUGUUCUGUGUUUAGGAAGAACAAGUAGACUUCCAUACAAACUGCUGAACAUACGUUUUGGUCACAUGCUUUGGCUCCUAGACCUAACAGGGCUAGUUACAGCAGGGAGAAGUCAGGUAGUUUGAAACUUCUUGUCUGUUUCUGUCACAUGUACAUUUCCCUCCUUUAAAAGAAAACUGUGAUAAUGCAUUUAAUCAAAAAACAAGAGAAAAGGCUCUGAAGAAAAUAUUUAUUUUUUUAAGAUAGCAACCUCAAAACAAAAGUUUGCAGUAUGACAAGGUCUUUGUAACAAACAUUUGUCUGGUAAUGAUCUCCUAACAGUGACUCCAUCUUCCCUCUGCUUAUUCUUAAUCAAGGUAAGGCAAGUUUCUUUUUUUUCAUGUCUUCUGUGUGGUAGAAGUUCAGUUUUCCAAAUUUCAAUGUCCCUAAUAACCCUUCUUUGUAUUACCGGAGCAGAGAGGGUGUAAUUACACAAAGUACUGCAAAGUUCUUGCACAUAGCUUUUACCAACACUUUUGUUAAGUAGUCUGUUUUCAAUGAAAAUACCUUGUCCUGCUUCGCCCUAGUAUCAUGCUUGAUCUUUUACCUGUGGUUGCUUUGCAGGCCAGGCUGUUAGCCACCCUGUACCACACACAGGCCUUUUCCUUCCUCACACGUUUUCAACCUGUGAAUCUUAACCUUACAGCAGAUUUGGAAUUUCUGAGAGCAUGACUUUCUACUUUGUACUAUUAGCAUUCACCCCAUACUCUGUCAUUAAAUUUACCUAUUUCUUCCCUGCUACUCCGAUCCCCCACUGUGACGCUGCAUCCCUGUUUAUAUUAAUAUGGUUUCUAGUGUUUGUUUGCUUGUUUUUGUUUUUGGGAAUAGUGUGAAAUAAAUACUAUAUGAAAAUAGUAUCUUGGAAGGAACCCUGGAAGACUCAGGACCCAUUGGCAACUCUGAAGCACUCAGUUCUCCCCACUGAGAUUUUUAUUCUCUACUUUGUGUACCCUUCAGCCUCACUGAAAAUAGGCAUUUCAUUCAAAAGCAUUUGAAAACUUCACUGAUGUCUGACUAAUAGUGAAAUAGUUGAUGAAUCUCUGGUUGUACCUUCUUGAGUAAAGCUGUCUCAUUUUAGGACUGGAAUUAAAAGGAAAGUACCUCUCCUACAGACUGAGCUGCUGCUUGCAUGUCUGUAACAGCUAGACAGCAUCCUGAGGAGCUCCAGGCUAAGUCUUUACUGCUCAAGUUCACACCAGGAUUGUUCACUGAGCUUAAGAGUGUCUGGGUGAGGCUGGGAGGAGUCAAAUCUGAGUCCUUGUCACUUGGUCAGCAGCUAUCAGAAACUUCAUUUUGUCGAUGGAAUCGUGAGUGAGAACACCAGUAAGAGGGGAUAUAUGGAUGUCAUUCUGAGAAGAGUUUGUUGAGAAUAUUGCCAAUUAAUUUUUUUUUUUUUAUUGCCAAUUUUAACACACUAAAUUAAGGCACGAGAGCCUAUUUAUGAGAGUAUUGAUUACUUUGUUGUAGUGAUGGCUGAUGAGGUUUCCGUGCCUUUGUUACUGAGAUAAAUCAGCUGCUGGUCACUUCAUUGAUUCAGUUUCAGAGCUUGA